rnacentral:rRNA from 1 species
UCCAGACUCCUACGGGAGGCAGCAGUGGGGAAUAUUGCACAAUGGGGGAAACCCUGAUGCAGCGACGCCGCGUGAGCGAUGAAGUAUUUCGGUAUGUAAAGCUCUAUCAGCAGGGAAGAAAAUGACGGUACCUGACUAAGAAGCCCCGGCUAACUACGUGCCAGCAGCCGCGGUAAUACGUAGGGGGCAAGCGUUAUCCGGAUUUAUUGGGUUUAAAGGGUGCGCAGGCGGAAUGUCAAGUCAGCGGUAAAAUUUCGGGGCUCAACCCCGUCGUGCCGUUGAAACUGGCGUUCUUGAGUGAGCGAGAAGUAUGCGGAAUGCGUGGUGUAGCGGUGAAAUGCAUAGAUAUCACGCAGAACUCCGAUUGCGAAGGCAGCAUACCGGCGCUCAACUGACGCUCAUGCACGAAAGUGUGGGUAUCGAACAGGAUUAGAUACCCCAGUAA